UACAGAGGUCCCGAGCGUUGUUCGGAUUCACUGGGCGUAAAGGGUGCGUAGGUGGUGAGGAAAGUCGGAUGUGAAAUCUCCAAGCUUAACUUGGAAAUGGCAUUGGAAACUACCUUGCUGGAGGUUUGGAGGGGGGACUGGAAUACUUGGUGUAGCAGUGAAAUGCGUAGAUAUCAAGUGGAACACCAGUGGCGAAGGCGAGUCCCUGGAAAACUCCUGACACUGAGGCACGAAAGCUAGGGGAGCAAACAGG
rnacentral:rRNA from 1 species